rnacentral:rRNA from 1 species
UUGCUAUUUUGCUGACGAGUGGCGGACGGGUGAGUAAUGCUUGGGAAUAUGCCUUAUGGUGGGGGACAACAGUUGGAAACGACUGCUAAUACCGCAUAACAUCUCCGGAUCAAAGUGGGGGACCUUCGGGCCUCACGCCAUAAGAGUAGCCCAAGUGGGAUUAGCUAGUUGGUAAGGUAAUGGCUUACCAAGGCGACGAUCCCUAGUUGGUCUUAGAGGAUGACCAGCCACACUGGAACUGAGACACGGUCCAGACUCCUACGGGAGGCAGCAGUGGGGAAUAUUGCACAAUGGGCGCAAGCCUGAUGCAGCCAUGCCGCGUGUGUGAAGAAGGCUUUCGGGUUGUAAAGCACUUUCAGCGAGGAGGAAAGGUUGUACUUUAAUAGAGUGCAGCUGUGACGUUACUCGCAGAAGAAGCACCGGCUAACUCCGUGCCAGCAGCCGCGGUAAUACGGAGGGUGCGAGCGUUAAUCGGAAUUACUGGGCGUAAAGCGCGCGUAGGCGGUUAAUUAAGUCAGAUGUGAAAUCCCAGGGCUCAACCUUGGAACUGCAUUUGAAACUGGUUAACUAGAGUUUUGUAGAGGGUGGUAGAAUUUCAGGUGUAGCGGUGAAAUGCGUAGAGAUCUGAAGGAAUACCAGUGGCGAAGGCG